rnacentral:rRNA from 11 species
AGAGUUUGAUCAUGGCUCAGAUUGAACGCUGGCGGCAGGCCUAACACAUGCAAGUCGAACGGUAACAGGAAGAAGCUUGCUUCUUUGCUGACGAGUGGCGGACGGGUGAGUAAUGUCUGGGAAACUGCCUGAUGGAGGGGGAUAACUACUGGAAACGGUAGCUAAUACCGCAUAACGUCGCAAGACCAAAGAGGGGGACCUUCGGGCCUCUUGCCAUCGGAUGUGCCCAGAUGGGAUUAGCUUGUUGGUGGGGUAACGGCUCACCAAGGCGACGAUCCCUAGCUGGUCUGAGAGGAUGACCAGCCACACUGGAACUGAGACACGGUCCAGACUCCUACGGGAGGCAGCAGUGGGGAAUAUUGCACAAUGGGCGCAAGCCUGAUGCAGCCAUGCCGCGUGUAUGAAGAAGGCCUUCGGGUUGUAAAGUACUUUCAGCGGGGAGGAAGGGAGUAAAGUUAAUACCUUUGCUCAUUGACGUUACCCGCAGAAGAAGCACCGGCUAACUCCGUGCCAGCAGCCGCGGUAAUACGGAGGGUGCAAGCGUUAAUCGGAAUUACUGGGCGUAAAGCGCACGCAGGCGGUUUGUUAAGUCAGAUGUGAAAUCCCCGGGCUCAACCUGGGAACUGCAUCUGAUACUGGCAAGCUUGAGUCUCGUAGAGGGGGGUAGAAUUCCAGGUGUAGCGGUGAAAUGCGUAGAGAUCUGGAGGAAUACCGGUGGCGAAGGCGGCCCCCUGGACGAAGACUGACGCUCAGGUGCGAAAGCGUGGGGAGCAAACAGGAUUAGAUACCCUGGUAGUCCACGCCGUAAACGAUGUCGACUUGGAGGUUGUGCCCUUGAGGCGUGGCUUCCGGAGCUAACGCGUUAAGUCGACCGCCUGGGGAGUACGGCCGCAAGGUUAAAACUCAAAUGAAUUGACGGGGGCCCGCACAAGCGGUGGAGCAUGUGGUUUAAUUCGAUGCAACGCGAAGAACCUUACCUGGUCUUGACAUCCACGGAAGUUUUCAGAGAUGAGAAUGUGCCUUCGGGAACCGUGAGACAGGUGCUGCAUGGCUGUCGUCAGCUCGUGUUGUGAAAUGUUGGGUUAAGUCCCGCAACGAGCGCAACCCUUAUCCUUUGUUGCCAGCGGUCCGGCCGGGAACUCAAAGGAGACUGCCAGUGAUAAACUGGAGGAAGGUGGGGAUGACGUCAAGUCAUCAUGGCCCUUACGACCAGGGCUACACACGUGCUACAAUGGCGCAUACAAAGAGAAGCGACCUCGCGAGAGCAAGCGGACCUCAUAAAGUGCGUCGUAGUCCGGAUUGGAGUCUGCAACUCGACUCCAUGAAGUCGGAAUCGCUAGUAAUCGUGGAUCAGAAUGCCACGGUGAAUACGUUCCCGGGCCUUGUACACACCGCCCGUCACACCAUGGGAGUGGGUUGCAAAAGAAGUAGGUAGCUUAACCUUCGGGAGGGCGCUUACCACUUUGUGAUUCAUGACUGGGGUGAAGUCGUAACAAGGUAACCGUAGGGGAACCUGCGGUUG